GGGGCAUGGCUCAGUUGGUAGAGCAUCUGCCUUGCAAGCAGAGGGUCAUCGGUUCGAAUCCGAUUGUCUCC
rnacentral:tRNA from 1 species